UCUUGAAUUUCUCCAUCCUUGUUUUUUUUUCCUUUCUAAAUUUGAUUCAUCGGCGAUUGUUUUCUGGUUUUGUUCGGUUUUAUAUGGAUUCGAUUUGUAAUUUUCUUCUAUGAUUGUAAUGUUUGAAUUUUUCCUAAUGUCCGUGUUCUUGAUUUCUCUUCUCAUGUAAGAUAUUUUUGGCGGAUUCCUCUCGGCGUUCAGUGUUUCUCUUUGAUUAAUCUUUUUGAAAUAUCGAUUUGUAUGCGACUGUGUGUGUGUAUAUGUAUGACCAGUAGUUGCGUUCCCCUAUACGUGAGUGCGUACACGCCAUACGUAUCUAUCUGUAUGUAUCUUUAUCUAACCUUGUUUGUAUGCGUGUGUCUGUGUGUACAUCUAUGAACAGUAUUGUUUCUGUUGAUGAUGUUCUUUUGGCAGAACCGAAAGGAAUAGCAAGUCCUGGGAAAGAGGAGAAGAUGAUCGAUAACGAAGUAAAAGACGCUCCGACCUUUGUAAUGCAAGAGACUGAAUUUGACGUUGAUCGAGGAAACGGGCAGGCUCCUAUGUUAGGUACAGAACUAAAGAAACACAUUUGUGAUGCAUUGGAUGGUAGGAGCAGCAAUGGAGAAGCUUGUUCAUUGGAUACAGAACAAGAUUUAGCAUUAGCCAGUGAAGAUCCAAGGGAGUUGAAAGAGGAGAAAGAUGCAUCGGCGACAAGUUCCUCAUCUUCUUCCUCGGGAAAGAAACUUCUUAUUCUUGAUCUGAAUGGUUUGCUUGCAGAUAUUGUAUCUUCUCCUCCCAAAGGAUAUACACCAGAUCUUAACAUUGGAACAAAAGCAAUUUUUAAAAGACCCUUUUGUGAAGAUUUUCUAAAGUUUUGCUUGGAGAAGUUCGAAGUCGGUAUCUGGUCAGGGCGAAGCAAGGGUAAAGUAGAGAAAAUCACUGAGUUCUUGUUUGGAGAUAUGAAGAGUAGACUGUUGUUUUGUUGGGACAUAUCUCAUUGUGCUAAAAUAAUAUAUGGUUCUCUCGGGAGAAAGGACAAAUACGUAGCUUUUAAGGAGCUAAAACGACUGUGGGAGAAUUAUGACCCGGAUUUACCAUGGAAGAAGGGUGAUUUUAGCGAAACCAACACGGUUUUGUUAGACGAUUCUCCGUUUAAAGCGCUGCUUAACCCACCAUAUACAGCAGUAUUCCCUCUUUCUUAUGACUAUAACGACGAAACCGACAACUCCUUAGGUAAAAUUCUUUCCCUGUGUUUUCUGCUCCUGUUGAGGCUUGAAGUUCCUUUCACUUGUUCGUCUCAUCAGCUUUCUCUUCCAAACUGUGGUUGUGAGUUUGAUGGUAUUAACUCAUUACUAACUGGAUGGACCCAAUGCCAGAUUCUUGAAGAUGGUUUUCCGGUUAUGGUAACGAUUUUGAAAGAAAGAAAUGCUAUUUUUGGUUCGGUGCACUUCCAUGUCAAAUUCAUUUUGAUGUAGGCAUUCCGAUCUUUUUGUCAAGGAUAUAUAUCAUGUCUACCAAGUACCAACCUUGUGUAACUACACCCAAAACAUUUCUGGUCGUGGUGAUCGUAUUUGCGGGUUCAUUGAGAUUCAGGUGAAGGUGGUGGUCUGAGGAUAUACCUGGAAAAGUUGGCAGAAGCAGAUAACGUUCAAGAAUUCAUCAAGAACCAUCCUUUCGGACAAGAGCCUAUGUCCGAAGCAAGUGAAUCUUGGGAGUUCUACAGCAGCAUCAUUGGAAAUAGAAGAUCAUGACAGAACAAAGGGUAUGUUAAUGUCACAUAUGGAAUGAUCAGGUACGCUUUCAAGAUAUGAAGGGGUAGAGAAACGGCGUGAUUUUUGCGUCUUCUUGUUAUAGACGACUUGGUGUUUCGUUGUAAAAGUUAAGCUAUGCAUUAGUUUCAGACUCUCAAACCAAAAAAAAAAUAAUUGGAAAGAUUAUGAAAAUAAAAGAGAAAAUCGCAUAUAAAUACCUAAAUUUUUACAAAAAUUCUAAAUAAAUACUUGAACUAUAAAAUUUUCAUAUAAAUAUAUGAACUUUUCUAAAAUCCUAUAUAAUACCUAUACUUUUGAAAAACGCUC